UUUCCGUAGGUGAACCUGCGGAAGGAUCAUUCAUAAUAAAGUGUUUUAUGGCACUUUUUAAAAAUCCAUAUCCACCUUGUGUGCAAUGUUAGAUCUCAUCAAUCUUGGCGAGAUUUUUAUACAUCAACUCAUUCUUUAACUAAUUUGUCUGAAAAAUAUUAAGAAUACUUAAUUCAAAAUACAACUUUCAACAACGGAUCUCUUGGCUCUC
rnacentral:misc_RNA from 1 species